rnacentral:rRNA from 1 species
UACGGAGGGGGCAAGCGUUAAUCGGAAUUACUGGGCGUAAAGCGCACGCAGGCGGUUUUUUAAGUCAGAUGUGAAAUCCCCCGGCUCAACCUGGGAACUUCAUCGGAUACUGGCAAGCUUGAGUCUCGUAGAGGAGGGUGGAAUUCCAGGUGUAGCGGUGAAAUGCGUAGAGAUCUGGAGGAAUACCGGUGGCGAAGGCGGCCCCCUGGACGGAGACUGACGCUCAUGUGCGAAAGCGUGGGGAGCAAACAGG